rnacentral:rRNA from 1 species
AUGCAGAGGCAGGGGCGCCACAUGGAGCGGUCCGGCUCCAAGCGGGCGCUAGACCCUGGCGGCAGUGGGGGCGGCGGCGGCGGCGGCGACGACGACGAACGUGAUCCUAAACGGCCGCGCGUCCCGGCCCUCGCCAGCAACUUGUCCUUUUCUUUCAGUGUCAUUGUAGAAGCUCUCAAGUUGGACAGUUUGCAGAAGCUUUGUUCAUCCCUUGAGCCGAUUCUCCGACGAGUUGUCAGCGAAGAAGUAGAGCGUGCUUUAGCCAAAUUGGGGCCUGCAGCAGCACCUGCUAGAAUUGAAGGGAGGACCUCUCCCAAAAGAAUUGAAGGCCCUAAUGGCAGUAAUCUCCAGCUUCAAUUUCGGAGUAGAUUAGCACUCCCACUCUUUACUGGAGGAAAAGUGGAAGGCGAGCAGGGAGCAUCAAUACAUGUUGUGCUGUUGGAUGCAAACACUGGACAUGUCGUUACUUCAGGACCCGAGUCACUUGCAAAAUUGGAUGUUCUUGUGCUCGAGGGUGAUUUUAAUAAAGAGAAGGAUGAGGAUUGGACUGAAGAGGAAUUUGAGAGCCACAUUGUGAAAGAACGUGAAGGGAAGAGGCCUCUUUUAAACGGUGAUAUCCAUGUGACACUUAAAGAAGGCGUAGGGACCAUAGGAGAGCUUAUCUUCACCGACAAUUCCAGCUGGAUAAGGAGCAGAAAAUUCAGACUUGGGAUGAGGGUCUCGUCAGGAUUUUGUGAAGGAAUUCGUAUCAAAGAGGCGAAGACAGAGGCUUUUACUGUGAAAGAUCACAGAGGAGAAUUAUACAAGAAACAUUACCCUCCUGCACUUAAGGAUGAUGUUUGGAGAUUGGAAAAGAUUGGAAAGGACGGUGCAUUCCACGGGAAACUAAACUCAAACGGAAUCUAUACAGUUGAACAUUUUCUUCAACUUCUUGUUAAAGAUCAACAGAAGUUAAGAAGUAUCCUUGGCACUGGUAUGUCAAAUAAGAUGUGGGAAAGUCUUGUUGAACAUGCGAAAACUUGCGUUCUGAGUGGCAAGCAUUAUAUAUAUUACUCCAAGGAUACAGCAAGUGUUGGUGCAAUAUUCAAUAACAUAUAUGAGUUCACUGGUUUGAUUGCUGAUGAUCAGUUUAUUUCAACGGAAAAUCUUACUGAAAACCAGAGGGUGUUUGCGGAUACAUUGGUGAAGCAAGCAUAUGAUGAUUGGAUCAACGUUAUAGAAUAUGAUGGCAAGGGAUUGUUGAAAUUUAAGCAGAAAAAGAAAUCUGUCACAACAAGAAGUGAUGCUGCAAAUAUCUCUACAAGCUACACUUCUUAUGAUUCAGCGCACUCUCAGAAACAAUUGGCACGAGGACAUGCCAAUGCCAAUAUUGAGCGAUCUCUCAUGAGCAGUACGAGUAAAGCAGAAGAGACAAGAAUUGCAUCCAACGGGAACCAGGUAGCAAUAUAUGCAGCCAAUGCUCAGGACAUCUCACCAAGUAUUACCAUGCAAUAUGGCAUGAGUUCAUUGAUCCCUGAAGGCCAGUUCAAUGGCUCUUCCAUCCAAACUCAAGCAUCAAGAAGCUCCAACAUGCUAGCAUUUGGACCACCACCACAGCAGCAGCAGAACUUCGAAUUCUCAGCACUUGGUCUGUCCAUGCAAUCCCCAGCUCCUAAUCCUUUUGAUGACUGGCCCGGACGGUUGCAGGAGAACCGCGGUGGCGUUGAUGACUUCCUGAUGGAGGAGAUUAGAGUGAGAAGCCAUGACAUACUGGAGAAUGAAGAAGAGAUGCAACAUAUGCUGCGCAUUCUUAGCUGCGGGGCAGCAGCAAACAUGAAUAAUGUAGAUGGCUUUACCUCCUACCCUUCUCCUGCACCGGUGGCCUUCAACUUUGAGGAUGAUCGUGCUCCCUCAUCCGGUAAGGCUGUUGUUGGGUGGCUUAAGAUUAAGGCUGCUAUGCGGUGGGGCAUCUUCGUCAGGAAGAAAGCAGCCGAGAGAAGAGCUCAGCUUGUUGAGCUGGAUGACUAG